rnacentral:rRNA from 1 species
CCUACGGGUGGCAGCAGUGAGGAAUAUUGGUCAAUGGGCGGAAGCCUGAACCAGCCACGUCGCGUGCAGGAUGACGGCCCUACGGGUUGUAAACUGCUUUUAUGCGGGAAUAACGCGGCUUACGAGUACGGCGUUGCGUGUACCGUAAGAAAAAGGACCGGCUAAUUCCGUGCCAGCAGCCGCGGUAAUACGGAGGAUGCGAGCGUUAUCCGGUUUUAUGGGGUUUAAGGGGUGCGCAGGCGGUAUGUUAAGUCAGCGGUAAAAGCCCGGGGCUAAACCCCGGCCCGCCGUUGAAACUGGCAGGCUGGAGUUGGAGAGAAGUAUGCGGAAUGCGCGGUGUAGCGGUGAAAUGCAUAGAUAUCGCGCAGAACCCCGAUUGCGAAGGCAGCAUGCCGGCUCCACACUGACGCUGAGGCACGAAAGCGUGGGUAUCGAACAGGAUUAGAUACCCGGGUAGUC